GUAUAUCUCAAUGUUUUUUUUUUUUUUUUUAAUUUGAAAAAGUGACAUGAUAUUCGUAUUUUGCAACUUUCAUUUGUAACUCUUUAGUUUCCAUGGUGAAAUUAAUUUAAAAGGCACCAGUUGAAGUGCUGAACAUGGCAGAAGCUAUGGAUGAAGGUGGCAUGGGCUAUAAUAUUGAUGCUAAAGGAAUUUUUGGGUAUGUUACUGGACAUUUCAGAAAAGACAAGCCGCCAGUUGUAGAAGCAGUUUUAUCUGGGCUUGUUGAUAGCCCUGACUACUGUAUGGAUUUUCCGAAGAGAGGAAUAUGUUAUAUUUUCAAUCA